rnacentral:rRNA from 1 species
ACAGCAGUAGCCGCGGUAAUACAGAGGGUGCAAGCGUUAAUCGGAAUUACUGGGCGUAAAGCGCGCGUAGGUGGUUUGUUAAGUCGGAUGUGAAAUCCCCGGGCUCAACCUGGGAACUGCAUCCGAAACUGGCAAGCUAGAGUAUGGUAGAGGGUAGUGGAAUUUCCUGUGUAGCGGUGAAAUGCGUAGAUAUAGGAAGGAACACCAGUGGCGAAGGCGACUACCUGGACUGAUACUGACACUGAGGUGCGAAAGCGUGGGGAGCAAACAGGAUUAGAUACCCCUGUAGUCCCUGUCUCUUAUAC